rnacentral:rRNA from 1 species
UACGGAGGGGGCGAGCGUUGUCCGAAGUUACUGGGCGUAAAGCGCGCGUAGGCGGGUUGGCAAGUCCGCUGUAAAAGCCCGGCGCUUAACGCCGGAGGGUCGGUGGAUACUGCCAGUCUUGAAGGUGCUAGGGGAAGAUGGAAUUACCAGUGUAGCGGUGAAAUGCGUAGAUAUUGGUAGGAACACCAGUGGCGAAGGCGGUCUUCUGGAGCACUCUUGACGCUGAGGCGCGAAAGCUGGGGGAGCGAACGGG